rnacentral:rRNA from 1 species
CCUACGGGUGGCAGCAGUGGGGAAUAUUGGGCAAUGGGCGCAAGCCUGACCCAGCAACGCCGCGUGCAGGAAGAAGGCUUUCGGGUUGUUAACUUCUUUUCUGAGGGACGAAGAAAGUGACGGUACCUCAGGAAUAAGCCUCGGCUAACUACGUGCAAGCAGCCGCGGUAAUACGUAGGUGGCGAGCGUUCUCCGGAUUUAUUGGGUGUAAAGGGCGUGUAGGCGGGAAAUCAAGUCAGAGGUGAAAACUCAGGGCUCAACCCUGGGCCUGCAUUGGAAACUGGUUUUCUUGAGUGCUGGAGAGGCAAUCGGAAUUCCGUGUGUAGCGGUGAAAUGCGUAGAUAUACGGAGGAACACCAGUGGCGAAGGCGGAUUGCUGGACAGUAACUGACGCUGAGGCGCGAAAGCGUGGGGAGCAAACAGGAUUAGAUACCCGUGUAGUC